UUUGUGGACCCAUGACUGAAUUUAUUUGCGUAGAGAAAGAAAAGGGUUUAUGGGGGAGGGGUGUAGAGCCCAGCAGCAGCUGCUGCCUUGGCAGAAGGCCCCCACCCCCUGCUGCUUCUUGUACUUCCUUCUUCUUCCUCUUCUUCGUUUUCUCCUUCUUCACUGUGUUAUAUAUAUAAUGUAGAGUUUUUUUUUUUUUUUUUUUUUUUUGGGGGGGGUGGGUGGGUGGUGGGGGUCGUCUGAACCAGGGGAGAGAUUUUGCGAAAAAAACCAGCGCCUGUUAGGGGGCUUUCGUACGAACACCGGUGAAAUCCAUGGUCGCCGGCAGCUUGAGCUCUAACCCACAUCUUCACCCGCAUUUAGUUCUCUAUUUUUAUUUUUGUCUUGGCCAAAAUCAUUCUGAAGAACCUGAAACGAGAGGCCUGGGGGGGGGGGGGGAUCAACUCUUGCAAAGUCCGAUGGUCUGAAAUUCUAGGAGAAAGGAGAACAUGGGUGCUGCCCUUUGGCGACCCCCAUUGACGCCGGAAACGCAACCUUGAAGGGCCACCACCCAUUGUAGCGGAAUCUUCAGUGGCAGCAGUGGAGCUCAUCUCCAUCAUUUCCGUUGACCAUGGAUCUCUGACAGGCUGCCUGGUUCCCUAUCUGGUCAUAACUCAGCUGUGGCCUGUCGUGUGAUCAUUCUCCACCGCUCCACUGCGGCACGAGCUAGUGUUGGAUCAUUCGCGAUGGUGAUUGCCAUUGGGGCUGUCGGAUCCACGCAAGCGAGGUUCACAUGUGGUGCUCAAGACAUGGUUGCUGUUCGGCAACUUGGGUCAGACGUGGGAGAUCCACUUUGGUGUGCAUCCUUCUCAGCUCCCAGGAUAUCUUGUUUAUUUGGUUCAGUAUCAGAGAGACGCAUGGUUGCACAAACCUUAUUAUUUCAGUUUUUGGGAAAUUGUUAUCAGAGAAUUUGUUUCCAUAAUCAAAAGAAAUAACGGGCCAAGAAACUUUGUUGUAGGCAUAGAGCAAGUACUUGUUUCAGAGAUCUUCAAAACCUGUUUAUAUUGUACAUUCAUGUGUGUUGUCCUUUUUUCCGUAAUAUAUGUUCUUGAAUUGGUUAUAUUGCA